rnacentral:lncRNA from 1 species
UUUUCAUGUGCCUGAGCUGAUGUGUUCUAGCGGAUUCUGAUGGCUGCUCCCUGCUUUCUCAGACAAAGGCCUCUCAGUCCCGGAGCCUCUGGAGCAGCAAUACCGACUCUACUCCCGGGAGCUGGGCGAGGGCACAUUGGACCGACUGCUGCUGCAGCUCUCAGUAAUGUCCAGCUCUCUCCAAGAUGGCCCCAUUAUGAACGUGUCACCCGCACCGACUGAGGAGACCAGCGGGGAGCCUCUGGGUGACAGGAGGGAUCUCCCGUGGGGGGCCACAUUUGAGCUGCCUCCGAUGCUCUUGGAGAGAGACAGUGACGGGAACAGGUCCUCAAAAAGCACUCCCUUGCGGAGGCUUGGAAAGCAAGACUCUCUUCUCCCUCCGCCAGCCCUCCGCAUCUUGCUGACACCCCCCAUGCUUGAGAAGCCGAGUGCUCUAGGCGUCAAGAGCCUGGUCUCCAGGCUGCAGGCCACGGCUGGCUUGGAGCUGAGGACCCCACAGCCAGCAGGAGAGAUGAACAGCCCACCUCUGAGCGCCCAGGCCCUCAAGGAGAUGGCCCUGGGCACCAAGAGCAUCGCUCUCAUAGCAGCCAACCGGCGCUGCAAGGUGUAUGACAGGGAGGGCGGCUGCCUGGACUCCAGGGACCCCAGCCCUGCAGACUGGAGGUGGCCUCAUGCCAGCCCCAGCAGGGACCGCUCUCUGGAUAGGAAAGCAGGGAGGAAGCGGUCACCCUCAUUCACCUGGAGCCUGCAACAAGUAUGCAGCUGGUGGCCGAUGGCUGGGGUAUGCUAG